rnacentral:rRNA from 1 species
CCGAGUAUAUGCGCCCCUGAUAAAGCACUGAUACUAACCACCGUAAGCUGUUGUGAUUGACCCUUUGGGGUUAACAUGGUGGCAAGCCGUGGGGCCUGAUGUGUGGUUCAAGCGAUGGGGUGACACAGUGGGGUAGCCAUGCCGCUUAGUGGAUUGUUGGUGUAAGCGUGUAGGUGAUGGUGUAGGUAAAUCCGCACUUGUUAUGCUGAGACGUGAUGCGUAGCCUUAAUUGGUGAAGUUGGUGAUCCCGUGCUGUCGAGAAAAGCCUCUAGCGAUGUAUAUACUCGGCCCGUACCCCAAACCGACACAGGUAGUCAGGUUGAAAAUACUAAGGCGUUCGGGUGAACUGUGGUUAAGGAACUCGGCAAAAUGCCCCCGUAACUUCGGGAGAAGGGGGACCCUAUGGCGUGAACACCCAUUUGCGGUGGGAAGCGUUGUGGGGUCGCAGAGAAUAGAGGGAAGCGACUGUUUAUCAAAAACACAGGUCCAUGCGAAGACGUUAAGUUGAUGUAUAUGGACUGACGCCUGCCCGGUGCUGGAAGGUUAAGAGGACCGGUUAAUCAAGCU